UUGCGUUUUGUUGUAGCUGACAAGCUGUGGGAUUUCGUAUAGAAUUUGAUUUCUUUUGCACUAAAUGGAAAUUGAUAAAUCGAGUUGCUCAGUUUUCUGGAAUAUAUCUCAUUAUUGUGUACAUCAAGUUGAAAUCAAUCUUUCUGUUUCGAAAUUAGUUGCUUUGGUUUUUCGUCUCAUUGUGAGGAAGAGAAUAUAGGCUGAUCAAAUUAAGUUCUUGAUUCCUCUCAUCUACACAAUAAAAAUUGAAACCAAGUGCAAUUGAUAAAAAUUGAUGCGCAAAAAAGAGAGAGAGACAGAGCGAAAGAAAGCCAGAGAGAGAGAGAGAGAACGAGAGAAAGCCAGAGAGAGGAAGAAGGCCUGCGUUUUGGAGGACGAUCUGCAUCCGUCUGGGUUUGUUUUGAGAUCGAUCUCAAUUAUUUAGGGAUUGCUGAUAGGUAUUCCAUUCGAUCGAGAGCACCUGAAAGAUUGUGGGAAUUGAUCAUGGGCAAUUGGGCAAAUAACAUGAUAGAGCAAUUGGGAGCUAAAGAUCAGUUGUUAAAACUGAGUUCGGGUGGUGAGUCAAGGUUAUACUAAAAGAUGGGUUGGGGAUACUGUUUUCAAUUGUUCAUCCGCGUUCUGAGAUGACGGAGCUGUCUCUGGGUUUGGGUUGGAAUCACAAUAUUGCUGUAGGUGUUUUUGGGGAGUCACAAAAGUGCUGUGGGGGUUUCUGGGGAGAUCAUUUGUUAAAACUGAGUUCGGGUGGUGAGUCAAGGUUAUACUAAAGAUGAGUUGAAGUCAGUGGGUGCGGGUUUGAAUCACAAUUCUGUUGUCGGUGUUCUGUGUGAUAGGUAUAGUGAUAGACAUGGAAUCAUCGGAGAGAGAUUUGAUCUGUUGUGAGGGAGGGAGGGAGGGAGAGAGCUUUGGAGUGAGAUUUGAUUUAUAAUCUAGAGAGAUCGGUGUAUUCAAGAAAAGGGGGGAAAAUGUAUAGAGAGAUCAGUGGUCAAGAAGAACGACUGAGAGAGAGGAGGAGAAUGUGUGUUUGUUUGGUUUGUGCGAAUUGAUAGACGGAUUGAAGGAAAAUUUUCACCUUACGAUCUGAGUACGAGGGAAAAUUUGAGGAGAUCUUUUUGGUCAUCGAAUACAGAGAAAAGUGGCGAGACGAAAAAUAAAAAGAGAGGGAGAAGAGAACGAGAACGAAGGAAGAGGAGGACAAAAGACGGACGGGAAGCUGUUGCGUAAAGGUCUUUGUAAAGCCUCAAGCACUGCAAUAGAAAAGAGAACAAGGCAAAUCAGUUUUGUCUCCAAUUUCACAGGAAGGAACGCGGAUUUGCUUAAGAAUCAUAAGCAGCUGUGUCUUUGUUCAUUUCUAGGUUCAGAGAUUUGAAGGUUUAAAACAGAAUAGCAGCUGAAGUGUCAAAGCUGCAGAGUUUAAAAUAAAAGGAACAGUUGGAGGAUCUUAUAGCCAAGUUGUUGCUCCGGGAAGUCUCUAUCUAACCCGACAUCAAGCUCCAUAGAAACUGGGUCGACUGUGGAAAAUCAAAUCAUCAAGGUAAUUUAGUAAGCAGAGAAAGCGGGUAACUCUUCAACACAGACAAGGAAAGAUGAGUAUUGUAGCUAAUGCAGAUACAAACAUGAUGAGUGGCAAAUACCUGAGUGGCAAAUGGUUAACAAAUACAUGAUCCUGUUUUUCAUUGAGGAAGUUCAUAAUAGGAAGUUGCAAUACACAGUAACCAUUUUUCCUUCUCCAACUGAAGCUUGCACCAGCAAUGGUACAAGUCAAUGUUUAAGCACUGCCUUAUGAAACAGGCUAUGAUAAAUUGCAGAGAACGUUAAGCAAGGAAUUUAAGCAUAUACAGUCCAGGUAGGUGAAAGUUUAGAGAAUUGGUUAGAGUGAUUCCUUCAGUUGUGCUCCAUUGAAAUGCACAAUGUGUUAAUGUCGCCAAAUGGAGCAAACUUUUCUGACUAUGAAUGCAAGAUAAAAGUUCAUCUUCUUUGUACUAUUUGAUCUUCACAUUAUGAGCUCUUUGGAUCAUUUUUUAGUUGUCUUGAAUUGUAUAGUUUCCGAACAAACGUAUUGUUUGAUGCAUCGAGUCAUUUGUUGAUGGUUUUUAGUUUAUUGAUGGAAAUACUAAGAUGCUUCUAGCUCAAGUCAA